AUAGGAAAUUUGAGUAGUGAUAAUCUUAAGAAAAAUGUAUCUUCGACUGAAAAACGAUUAUCACAGGCUACAUCAAUAGAAAGCAAUGUUACCAUCAGUGAGAAUUACUCUGAACCUGUUAGCUGCCUGGAGAGGAAUGUUUGUCACUAGAUCCAAUAGAAGAACUUGAAAAAAUUAGAGCUGAAAUGAAUCGCCUAAAAGAUGAGAAUGACCAUAU